UUAAUUGAAACCAAAAAAGAGGUAUAUCACUGUUAAUGAUUUCAUUGAAAGCUAUUUCCAAUUAAG
rnacentral:tRNA from 1 species